GUGAGGAAUAUUGGUCAAUGGGCGGAAGCCUGAACCAGCCAAGUCGCGUGAAGGAAGAAGGAUCUAUGGUUUGUAAACUUCUUUUGAAGGGGGAUAAAGUGCGUCACGAGUGGUGCAUUGCAGGUACCCUUGGAAUAAGCAUCGGCUAACUCCGUGCCAGCAGCCGCGGUAAUACGGAGGAUGCGAGCGUUAUCCGGAUUUAUUGGGUUUAAAGGGUGCGUAGGUGGCUUUUUAAGUCAGCGGUGAAAACUGGCGGCUCAACCGCAAGAGUGCCGUUGAAACUGGGGAGCUAGAGUAUGAACGAGGGAGGCGGAAUGUGUGGUGUAGCGGUGAAAUGCAUAGAUAUCACGCAGAACUCCGAUAGCGAAGGCAGCUUACCGGGCCAUAACAGACACUGAAGCACGAAAGCGUGGGGAUCGAACAGGAUUAGAAACCCGUGUAGUCC
rnacentral:rRNA from 1 species